GAACUGACAUUCACAGAAAUAUUUGUGAAAAUGAGUUUUUCUAUUCAAACAUGGCACAUAUUUUUGCCAUUUAUGGCUUUUUUUGUAUCUUCCAGGGUGCUAAAGUUUUCCAUAAGGUUUUAGACAUUUCUAUACUGUGUAACAGGAUAAUUGAAGAUUCAUGCAAGACUAAUGGAUUCUUUGCGAGCAGGAUGGAUGCAUGAAGGGAACCUGAUAUCCCUGCACAAUGACAACAGCAGCAGCUAUUUAUCAGAAAAGUAAAUGAAUUUACUCGGCCUGUGGCGUUGCCCCUACGGUAAUGCCAGGGAGGAUGCUGGCUGUAUUUUGGAAAAUACCUCAAUAAUCUGUUCAUGGGGUUUAAAGAGAGGCUCCGCCAUUCAAGUUGGCUUGAAGCAGGUCAGUAAACGACAGGCUGAUGAUGCUCUGCAUGCAGAUCAAGGAGAGAAGAGAGGAGGAGAGAAGAAGGGAGCACUGAAGCAGAGGAUCCCCGGGGGCUCUGGAGGACAGGAUAUCCAAAAUUUAUUGAGAUGCUUGAACUUGCAUUUUGAUGGUGUCUGUUCCUUGGCUCUGGGGAAACCAGCCAAAGUCCUUCAGUGUCUGCAAGCCAAAGAAACCCUACAGGAAAGGAGAGCUUUGAGAAAACGUGGCACCAGGAAAUUCCCAGAGGUCUUAUGUAAAACAUCAUGACUCUUCAAAUGGCAUCAUAACCUGCGUACUGAAAAGACAUUGAAGAACAGAGAAGCAGCAAGUCUAACAGCCCAGCGCUGAGGACAGGAGUCACCCUUCUGAAGCAGAGUGAGCUUCCGAAGUUGCCUCAAAUGUAAAAUGCACCUCCACCCUUAAAGGUGAGCAUUUGGCAUUGAGCAUGCUGCAGGCUCUUAGGGAAGAACACCUGACCUUUUGACCCUGAAUGGCUAUGAACCUGGGCUGAUCCUUCCAGACAUGAGAGAGCCACACUCUGACAGUCGUGCAGUAGGACUCGGCACAGUGGCUAGUACACGCAAGGCAUCCUGAGCUCCACGGGAACACCUUUAUCCCAUAAAGCAGGGGUGCCUGGGACUCUUACCAUAUGCCUCUGUCAGUGGCCUCUGCCUGCCCAUGCACGGCCGGGAGGAAGCCGGCACCCCGCUGAAGUGGGUCCUGAGCUUCGUCUCUGUGCGUGAGUGUGCGUAAGAACUCACUGACACGUUGCGUGACCCGAGUCUACAGUUCACACAGUCCACUUUUGAGGCUAAUAAAAUAUACCUGGUUGCUGUUGUUUAGUCGC
ensembl:lncRNA